UGGGGAAUAUUGGACAAUGGGCGCAAGCCUGAUCCAGCCAUGCCGCGUGAGUGAUGAAGGCCUUAGGGUUGUAAAGCUCUUUCGCCGACGAAGAUAAUGACGGUAGUCGGAGAAGAAGCCCCGGCUAACUUCGUGCCAGCAGCCGCGGUAAUACGAAGGGGGCUAGCGUUGUUCGGAAUCACUGGGCGUAAAGCGCACGUAGGCGGAUUGUUAAGUCAGGGGUGAAAGCCUGGAGCUCAACUCCAGAACUGCCCUUGAUACUGGCAAUCUCGAGUCCGGAAGAGGUAAGUGGAACUGCGAGUGUAGAGGUGAAAUUCGUAGAUAUUCGCAAGAACACCAGUGGCGAAGGCGGCUUACUGGUCCGGUACUGACGCUGAGGUGCGAAAAGCGUGGGGGAGCAAAACAGGAUUAGAUACCCUGGUAGUCCACGCCGUAAAACGGUGGAGGCUAGCCGUUGGCGAGCAUGCUCGUCAGUGGCGCAGCUAACGCAUUAAGCCUCCCGCCUGGGGGAGUACGGUCGCAAGAUUAAAACUUAAAUAAAUUGACGGGGUCAUAGCUGUUUCCU
rnacentral:rRNA from 1 species